rnacentral:rRNA from 1 species
AAUCAACGCUGGCGGCGUGCCUAACACAUGCAAGUCGAACGCGGUGUUCCCGCAAGGGAGCACUGAGUGGCGAACGGGUGAGUAACACGUGGGUGACCUACCUUCGAGUGGGGGAUAACGUUCCGAAAGGAACGCUAAUACCGCAUAACAUCCUGCCUUUGAACAGGCGGAGAUCAAAGCCGGGGAUCGCAAGACCUGGCGCUGGAUGAGGGGCCCGCGUCCGAUUAGCUAGUUGGGAGGUAACGGCCCACCAAGGCGACGAUCGGUAACCGGCCUGAGAGGGCGGACGGUCACACUGGGACUGAGACACGGCCCAGACUCCUACGGGAGGCAGCAGUGGGGAAUAUUGGACAAUGGGCGCAAGCCUGAUCCAGCCAUGCCGCGUGAGUGAUGAAGGCCUUAGGGUUGUAAAGCUC